CAAGCUAACAGCAAGGAAAAACAAACAAACAAAAAACCAAAACAAAACAUUUUGUUAGCGAUUUUGUUAGGGAAACUUUAAUUUUACACAGUAAAUCACUUUUAGUUCAUUUUUGUAUGAACAGGAAAAUAGGAAAGCUAAAAUUGCCUUUCAAGCUAGUUUACGUUUCAAAAAUAAUAGUAGCAAAGAAAUGGAAACACCAAGUUCUUUUUAUAUCUGUCAUUUUAUAUGCAAAUUUUUUUGUGCUAAGCUGCAUAGUUAUAGGUUGCUGUUACCUCUUCCUCAGGACUUUUGGAGAUUAAUAACAGUUUCAGUCAACAGUAAUCAAUGCAUUAUCACAGACUUAAAUAAUAUCAUCUACACAAAUAGAUGUGCAUGUGCAAUGUCAUAAUUUGGAGUCUAUUCCAAGACUGGUCUGUUUAACUGGGUGUGGUGUAAUAGAAGCCUAGAUCAGAAAAAAAAAAAGUAAUAAGGGUCUUUCUUAGAAUAGUACUGGUACCACUGAUGUUUGUCCAACCAAUGUUUUAUGUUGAUAUUUAAACUUAAGACAACAUAUCAGUCUCUUUGCAACUGGUAUUCUUUAACUUUUUCUUAGAGGUUAAUUUUCUGUUAAAACAAAAGUGACUGUUGCAGUGGAAAAAACCCAACCACUUACUGAAGGAACUAUUUUAGGGCAAAAUUUUCAUCUCAGGGCCACAUGGCAAAUGUCAUCUCCAAUAGCCUCCUCUCCAUGCACAUGCAGAACUCCCACUGACACUCUAAAGUGUGCUCUGCACAUGUGAAGAGAGAAGAGUAUCGGCACUGUGAUCAGCCAUGUGGACCCAAAGAAAAGGUCUUUACUGUUGUGGAACGCUUACUGGAGUGCUGGCCAACACAUCGAAAAAACAAUACAGUCAGUAAAUAUAUACAUAAAUAAAAUUGUGAGUAACAUUGUGAUACACAGUGCAACUAAAACCCUUCAUAGCUUUUGGGAGUCUCAAAAAUGAUAAAGAGCUUUUUCCUGUUUGUGCUGACUUCGAGUCAAAAAUCUAUUGCAGAAGGAUGUGAAUCUCUUUUACUUACCCACUUCAUUGUCUCCUAUUAAUGCCAAUCCACUCUUUUAGAAGUGCUUAAAUAUGCCUUUGUUUAGAAGUAAACACAGGAAAUAAUGUAAAACCCUUCAGAAUUUUCUAACUCAUAAAAAAACAAUGCUGAACUUUGCUUGUUAGCAAUGGAUGGAGUUCCAAAAUAGAAAAAUUCCAUACAGGUAUGUGUGUAUGCAGAUGCCAUAUUAAGUGAAGAUUGGGAAUGUAAUUUUUUUCCUCCCAAGACUGUGUUAACCAGGACGUGAAAAGUUACAGUUUUAUGGCAACUUCCAUUUAGAAGGUCUACUAAAAAAUCUGUCUUCAAAUUUGAAAUUUGGAUUUAAUAACUUAAAUAAAAAACUAUUUCAUAUUAAGUCUUGCGUAUUCCAAAUUUGGGCAUGCACAGAAUAUGAACAUAGAAACCUCUAAGAUGCUGUGGUUUACUCAUAUUUGAAUUAAAACUGGCAAUUAAGUCUUCUAAUUGUAAUAUUAUCUGAAAUCAGAGAGUUAAAAAUUAAUCCUUCUGCUUAUUUGCUUAUUUAGUGUUUAUUCUAUUCUCUAUGUAAGUUGAUUUACAUUUUUCUAGAUUGCUCAUAAAUUUCUGAAUUGUUGGAUAUUUCUAAAUUGUUCUGAAUACUUUGGUAUCUCUUUCAGUAUUAUCUUUCAGUAAAAAUGUUUCUUUAGUCUCCUUAAGUAGCUAACCUAGUUCUUUAUUUCUUCCCAUAGCUGGAGAAUGUAUUUCCCUUUCUGAGAAAGUCAUGAAGUUGUUAGUUCCUAAUGCAAUGAAAAUGCAGAUUUUCAUAUCCUACAAUGUUUUGGAUAAUAAUUUUAUCAGAUCAGAUUGAAGCACAGAACUCUUAACUCACGUUUGCCAGAGAAAAGACUGUUACUUCAACUAACAGGAGCAGAAGCAUUGUAUCACCAGUAUUUUAAAGAGGAGUGCUGGGGAGAUGCUCUUGGUCUCUGUGCGAGCUACUGUGCAAGUAAACCUUUACCCAGCCUUGUACCUUCCUAAUUCUGAGCCUGAGCCUGAUCUGCUGACCUGACUUUUUGGCUUGACCUUGGACCUGCCUCAUCACUACCAACCUGGCCUGUCAAUCUGAACUGUUGUUUGGACUGGAUCUGCUCUGCUCCUGCACAGGUGCUCUGCAA